UACGUAGGGGGCAAGCGUUGUCCGGAUUUAUUGGGCGUAAAGAGCGUGUAGGCGGCCUGAAAGGUCAGCUGUGAAAACCCGAGGCUCAACCUCGAGACGUCGGUUGAAACCAUCUGGCUAGAGUCCGGAAGAGGAGUGUGGAAUUCCCGGUGUAGAGGUGAAAUUCGUAGAUAUCGGGAGGAACACCGGUGGCGAAGGCGGCGAUCUGGGUAGAUACUGACGCUGAGGUGCGAAAGCGUGGGGAGCAAACAGG
rnacentral:rRNA from 1 species